AUUGACCAUAAACUGGUCAAUGCAGAAAGUCAAACACAGUUUGACUUUAACGCUAAAACGAAAGAAAAGCACGAAAGAAUACUUACAGAAGGUCCCCGCAAGAUUUGAUCCGAUUUACCCUCAGGUAUGAAGUAUGAACUCCAAUUUAGAGGGCCAAAAUCAGAUUCAAAUGUGGGUUUUGCAAAUGAGAAUGGAGGGGUAUUUA
rnacentral:lncRNA from 1 species